rnacentral:rRNA from 1 species
UACGGAGGGUGCAAGCGUUGUCCGGAAUCAUUGGGCGUAAAGAGCGCGUAGGCGGCCCAGUAAGUCCGCUCUGAAAGUCAGGGGGCUCAACCCCUGAAUGCGGGUGGAUACUGCUGGGCUAGAGUCCGGAAGAGGCGAGUGGAAUUCCUGGUGUAGCGGUGAAAUGCGCAGAUAUCAGGAGGAACACCGAUGGCGAAGGCAGCUCGCUGGGACGGUACUGAGCUGAGGCGCGAAAAGCGUGGGGGAGCAAAACAGG